CUUUGAGCUAAUUUUGAAUUAUUGCGAUUUGUCCUAGCUGUACUGUUUGUACCCAAUGCGCAACAACAAUGAGUUGACUUUGAAAAAGAAAAAUACACACACCAACUUAGUACUGUGUGAACGUACAAAUGUUAAGUCGAAUGCACCUCUUCUUCAAUAAUUGAUAUCGCCUAGUCAAAGUUUUGUGCAAUCAGUCGAUGUUUUCCAUGUAGAAUUUAUUACUUUUAAUUGAAAAUACAAUCUUUAAUGUUUUUUUGUGUAAAUUGUGAUAAAGAAUAAAGUGUACAUGUAAUAUGAAAUUAUGUUAAUACUAUCAUUAAUGAUCAAUAUACAAGUAACCUAAAAUUGUUAGCAUAUGCAAAGCAUGAAAAAUUUAUUAUCUUGUUAUUUAUUGUUUUGUAAUCAAUGUAAUAGUUUUUUUUAGAACUGCUAGAAUUAUCAAUCUUCCAUUAAUUAAUUUUCCUAGUAAUUCAGUUAAAUUAAUCUCAUACUCAUUUUUCCCUAAAAUACUAAACCUUUUUUCUUUACUAUUUCCUUCUAAUUUUUAUUCAGUCUGACACAGAUGUGCAAAAAACGUGCUAACACCAAAAGUUAUCUCACUUGAAUCAUUUUAAUUCUUAUCAGCUUAUUAAGUGCCCAAAUAAAUUAGGGAGAGAAAAAAACCAUCAUUAGCUGCCAAUGUCCAUUAUUUUAAUUACUAUCCAUCAGAUAUUGACUUAACCAAUUUUGCUAUGUAUGCUUUUUAUAGAAGAGCUCGCAUCUGCAGUUCAUAUUCUCUUACAAAUUGGAGAGAAAAUUGGUUGUCGUUGUCUUUUUUAAGUAUAACUAAUUUGUGUUUAUACAAAUUUCAUAACUUCUCAUAGCUAUGUUUUAUGCAUACGAUGUAAUGCCAACAUUUACAAUCUUAUUUUCAAUAUAUUUCAUAUAUGGACUAUACAAGAAACACCUAUUAUUUGUGUUUAGCGGAGUGUCUCUUAUAUACUUCCUUUUGGGCUUUUUUGUAAUGAUAGUCAUGGACACAUUAAUCAAACAUAAUACUCAGUACAUAUCCUUACUGUUAACCAUUCUAGUGAAGAGUUAUUACAAUGAGUUGUCUUUAAAAAAGAACGGGACAAGUCGUACAUUAGAAGAACGUCAAACAGCGAACACUGAAUUUGAAAAUCCACAAUCGUUAUGAUGAAUAAUUUUCUCUAUCCAAUGAUUUAUUUAAUUCACUAUUAUUUGUUUCGAAUAAGCAUCGUUUUAUGUUUAUUAACUAUUUAUUAUGUUAUUAAAUCAUUAAAGUUGCAGUGUUGUCUUUUUGAAACUGCUCAUGCAAUAACAAUUAUUUAUUACGAUGUACAAUUAUGUAUUAGUGCAUUAUUUGACACAAAAUGAAAUGUAAUCAAUAUUAAUAUGUUUCAUUUUUUUAAAUUGAUUUCAUCGUCAUAAAACAAAUCCUUUGAUGUUUUAAGCCUAAAAAACGCUCUCCAUUCAUCAAAUCACCACUUUUUACCAUUGAUUUUUCACUUUCUCUUAAAUUUUAGGGCGUGUGAUCUGAAUCUGUCUUCUAGAUUAGUCUUCAAAUCCUUCUGUCAUAUUUAAACAAUGAUUAAAAUUAAAUGCAUGAAUACAUUUAAUUGAGGGUUUCUACAUGUUAAAAUAAUUCUUUCGUUGUCAUUGAAUCAACUUUUUAAAACUAAGUGCGUUAUGAUGUAUCGAACAAUAUCUAUAUAUAAUCAAUUAUCCACAAGUGUUUUUUAA
rnacentral:lncRNA from 1 species